rnacentral:rRNA from 1 species
AGAGUUUGAUCCUGGCUCAGAACGAACGUUGGCGGCGUGGAUUAGGCAUGCAAGUCGAACGAAUCCCCGGGGGGUAACUCCCGGGGGGAAGUGGCGAAAGGGGCAGUAAGGCGUGGGUAACCUACCCUCAGGACCGGGAUAGCCGGCCUAACGGCCGGGUAAUACCGGGCGCGGUGGCGAGGAGGCAUCUCCUUGCCAUGGAAUGAGUUUCGCCUGGGGAGGGGCUCACGUGGUAUUAGCUUGUUGGCGGGGUAACGGCCCACCAAGGCUUAGAUGCCUAGCAGGUGUGAGAGCACGACCUGCGCCACUGGCACUGAGACACUGGCCAGACUCCUACGGGAGGCUGCAGUCGAGGAUCUUCGGCAAUGGGCGCAAGCCUGACCGAGCGACGCCGCGUGCGCGAUGAAGGCCUUCGGGUUGUAAAGCGCUGUCGAGGGGGAGGAAAGCCCGCAAGGGUCUGACCUAUCCCUGGAGGAAGCACGGGCUAAGUUCGUGCCAGCAGCCGCGGUAAGACGAACCGUGCGAACGUUGUUCGGAUUCACUGGGCUUAAAGGGCGCGU